rnacentral:lncRNA from 1 species
GGGGAGACGGAUGAAGCGCCGUCGUGCACGCUGUAGCUUCUUCAUGGCGGCUUGGUGCUGCUUUAUCCGGCUAUCCCCGCGAUUCGUGGACACCGUCGCCACCUGCACGGCCAGAGGUUUCUCCUCCCAAAUGCUCUCCACCCUCUUCUUCGUCCCCUCCCAGUCCCCUCUUCCUAGCUACAGCUCCUUCAGUCCAAUCGAUUAGUUCAAUGAGUUGAGAUGGCUGGAGAGGUGACUGUAUCCGGUUCACUCCCCUGUUCCAUGGACGUGCUAUGGUCUGUGAGGUUGUGCGAGUUAGCUAGCCAUUUUGAGUGGAGUUGAGUGCUGGAAGAAGGGAUUGGAGAAUACAGUAAAAAAUGUGUGUUUCGUCGUACUGAUUCUUUUCUAAUUCUUCAAUUCUCCUUUGUGAUUGAGUAGAUUCCUUUUAAGAGUUAAAACUUUACAAUGCUAACAUGAUAUUGGGAAAGCAAAAUAUUUUUUAAGCAUCUACGCCUAAUGUGGUUUACUUCUUCUUUACGCCUUGCGGAUGGUUAAGAUGUUGGACAUUCUGUUCUUGCAGAAUACCUCUCCCUUUGAGGAUUUCAUUUUGAGAGGCUUGAUGGUAGUACAAGAGAUGGAACAUUUUAAUGCUCCUGAAAGUGACGACUUCUGUUUCCUUUUAUCCACACGUGCUAGAGGACUUGGUAUUAAUCUUGCAACUGUAGAUACAGUGAUAAUUUUUUAGUCCAAUUGGAAUCCGCAAAAUGAUCUGCAGGUCUUUCUCUCUCAUACUCUCUCCCUCUUAGAAGUGAGCGUGUACCUAACUUGCAAAGGUUUAUUUAUCUUUAUUAUGUUUUUUAUGGUACAUAGGAUUGUCCAACAGGAAACUGUUAAUAUCUACCGCUUCGUCACAUGCAAAAGUGUUGAAGAGGAUAAUUUGGAACACACAAAGACAAAGAUGGUUGUCAAAGUGCAUAAUUCAUGUAUAUUCUUUAGUAUGAUUAUUGAUCUGUUCUUUUUACCUAUUUUUUUUUCCUAUUUCAGGUUCUUGAUCACUUGGAAUGAGGAAAGACUGAACUGAGCGUUAUGUUCGGCAGCAGAUAGCACUAGCAAGGCACGCCAGCCCUCUCCUCCCCUCCCAAUGUACUCCCUCAUUGCCAUU